rnacentral:rRNA from 1 species
GAUGAACGCUAGCGGCAGGCUUAACACAUGCGAGUCGAGGGGCAGCGCGGGUAGCAAUACCUGGCGGCGACCGGCAAACGGGUGCGGAACACGUACAGAACCUACCUUGAUCUGGGGCAUAGCCCGAAGAAAUUCGGAUUAACUCCCCAUAAUAUUAUUGGAUGGCAUCAUUUGGUAAUUAAAAAUUUAUUGGAUCAAGAUGGCUGUGCGUCCCAUUAGCUAGUUGGUAGGGUAACGGCCUACCAAGGCGACGAUGGGUAGCUGGUGUGAGAGCACGACCAGCCACACGGGCACUGAGACACGGGCCCGACUCCUACGGGAGGCAGCAGUGAGGAAUAUUGGUCAAUGGACGCAAGUCUGAACCAGCCAUGCCGCGUGAAGGAUGAAGGCCUUCUGGGUUGUAAACUUCUCUUAUCUGGGAAGAAAACUACGGUUUCUACUGUAGCCGACGGUACCAGAGGAAUAAGCACCGGCUAACUCCGUGCCAGCAGCCGCCGUAAAAC